GCGUUGGGUAGCUAUGUCGGGAAAGGAUAAGCGCUGAAAGCAUCUAAGCGCCAAGCCCCCUUGAAGAUGAGAUGUCCCUGGGAUUUAUUCCCCUGAAGACCGCUUGAAGACUACAAGCUUGAUAGGAUACAAGUGUACGAGCAGCAAUGUUUUCAGCUUAGUAUUACUAACCGGUCGUGAGGCUUGACCAC
rnacentral:rRNA from 1 species